GAAACUUUUCUUGAUUAUCAGUUUUAUUUUGCCUGCUUUGUUUGUCACUCAAGGGGGGGAAAAAGAGUACUUGCAAAGAUUAAAGAAGAGAAGGCCGAGUAGAGACUUCAGUGUGUGCGACUCCCAGUGAGAGAGAAACAAGAGGAUGUUAGGAAAAGAAGAAUCGAACACGGUGUUGACGUUGCUCAAAGCCGGAGAUCAUCGGCCCUUCGAUCAGAUCGUCGCCGACUUCGCCUCCAGCUUCCCUCCCCCUCGCCAAUUUUCUGCUUGCAUCUCUCUCGCCUUAAUCCUUGACGGAAAACUUCUUAAACCAGCACAGAGAUUAGUUGCUUUUGCAAUUCUUCAGCAGGUUUAUUCCUCGCAGGAGCCUUCAUCAAACCCGUUCAUUUCGUUGCUAGUAAAUGCAGCCUGUGACGAAGAAGCUGAACCAUGUGAAAGAGCUUUUAUUCUUCAGUUGUUGGGCUCAGCCAGCUCAACCAGUAGCAGAGAGGUUCUUAAGCAAUCAGCAACAGAUUACAUGAAAAUGUUUGAUCCUUCACAACAUUCUUUCCCCCAACGAGAGCAGUUGCAACAGCAAUAUGGUAGCAAAGCUCUACCAGAACAGCUUCAUUGCUUGUUCAGGAACAAUUACGUGAAAAAUAGCAUUCCUGACCCUGAUGUACCUCGUGGCUGUGAUAGCAAUUCAUCAGAGUUUGAUCUCCCUGGAUCUAAACCUAAGAUUGGAUCUGGGGAUGUUGAUGAGACGAUAACUGGAUUGUUAUCAAAUUUGUCAUUGGAAGGAUUAGGACCUCAAUGGAUCAGGCCUUAUCCUCCCAGGCUUCCUGUAUUAGAUGGAGAGCUAGUGUGGCUAAACCCUGAUUACAAUUAUGAGCUUCUAUGGGAUCAUGGGAUGUGUGCCGAUACUAGCAGAGGAGCUGCAGUCAGGGAUUUGAUUGCAAAAGCCCUAAAAGGUCCACUUGCACCUGCUCAACAAGAGCAAGUACUAUUGGAGUUGGCAAAUGACCCAAAGCUUGUCUACCAUUGUGGGUUGACACCAAGGAAGCUUCCAGAACUUGUGGAGAACAAUCCUAUUAUUGCAGUUGAAGUUCUGGUUAAGCUGGUCAAUUCACCAGAGAUUGCAGAAUAUUUUACCGUUCUUGUUAAUAUGGAGAUGAGUCUUCAUUCAAUGGAAGUUGUUAACAGGCUCACUCAAGCAGUUGAAUUGCCAACCGAAUUCAUACAUAUGUACAUCACCAAUUGUAUAUCUUCCUGCGAGAACAUCAAGGAGGCAGGAGUUACUUGGGUUACCAUGCUAUUCUUGAAUUGGUUUGUCACCCAUUUAUCGUCCCAAUUUCAGAUUGGUGUUGUGAUGGAGGAAACUUGGAUAGAUAUAUGCAAAACCGACUUGUAAGACUUGUCUGUGUUUUCCUACAGAGCUUGAUCCGGAAUAAGAUCAUAAAUGUCCAUGAUCUCUUCAUUGAAGUACAAGCAUUUUGUAUUGAGUUCUCAAGGAUUAGAGAGGCCGCAGGGCUGUUUAGGCUUCUGAAGACUUUGGAGUAGAAGCUUGCCUUAUUCACCCAAUUCCUUAGAUAAAGUUUUAUUUGAUGUAACAUGUGUACAUGUGUUUUGAUUUUUUUUUUUCUCUUGUUUCUAUUCCGUUCUUCCUGAAUAGUUAGCACCCAAAUGUGGGUCAUUGUAUCCUUGGAUCAGAAAAGUUAUCAUUAUAAAGUUUAUUUCGCAUUUAGCACAU